CGGGGGCAACCCUGGUGGCGAGUGGCGAACGGGUGAGUAAUGCAUCGGAACGUGCCCUGUCGUGGGGGAUAACGUAGCGAAAGUUACGCUAAUACCGCAUACGACCUGAGGGUGAAAGCGGGGGACCGCAAGGCCUCGCGCGAUAGGAGCGGCCGAUGUCGGAUUAGCUAGUUGGUGGGGUAAAGGCCUACCAAGGCGACGAUCCGUAGCGGGUCUGAGAGGAUGAUCCGCCACACUGGGACUGAGACACGGCCCAGACUCCUACGGGAGGCAGCAGUGGGGAAUUUUGGACAAUGGGCGCAAGCCUGAUCCAGCCAUGCCGCGUGAGUGAAGAAGGCCUUCGGGUUGUAAAGCUCUUUCGGUGAAGACGAAACGGUUAGUGUUAAUAGCACUGACUAAGACGGACUCACAGAAGAAGCACCGGCUAAUACGUC
rnacentral:rRNA from 1 species